rnacentral:rRNA from 1 species
GGCAUGCCUUACACAUGCAAGUCGAACGGUAACAGGUCUUCGGAUGCUGACGAGUGGCGAACGGGUGAGUAAUACAUCGGAACGUGCCCGAUCGUGGGGGAUAACGAGGCGAAAGCUUUGCUAAUACCGCAUACGAUCUACGGAUGAAAGCGGGGGAUCUUCGGACCUCGCGCGGACGGAGCGGCCGAUGGCAGAUUAGGUAGUUGGUGGGGUAAAAGCUUACCAAGCCGACGAUCUGUAGCUGGUCUGAGAGGAUGAUCAGCCACACUGGGACUGAGACACGGCCCAGACUCCUACGGGAGGCAGCAGUGGGGAAUUUUGGACAAUGGGCGAAAGCCUGAUCCAGCCAUGCCGCGUGCAGGAUGAAGGCCUUCGGGUUGUAAACUGCUUUUGUACGGAACGAAAAGCCUCUUUCUAAUAAAGAGGGGUCAUGACGGUACCGUAAGAAUAAGCACCGGCUAACUACGUGCCAGCAGCCGCGGUAAUACGUAGGGUGCAAGCGUUAA